rnacentral:rRNA from 1 species
CAGCAGCCACGGUAAUACGUAGGUGGCAAGCGUUGUCCGGAAUUAUUGGGCGUAAAGCGCGCGCAGGCGGCCUAUCCAGUCUGUCUUAAAGGUUCGGGGCUCAACCCCGUGAUGGGAAGGAAACUAGUAGGCUAGAGUAUCGGAGAGGAAAGCGGAAUUCCUAGUGUAGCGGUGAAAUGCGUAGAUAUUAGGAAGAACACCAGUGGCGAAGGCGGCUUUCUGGACGAGAACUGACGCUGAGGCGCGAAAGCCAGGGGAGCGAACGGGAUUAGAUACCCCAGUAGUCCCUGUCUCUUAUACA